rnacentral:rRNA from 1 species
UACGUAGGGGGCUAGCGUUGUCCGGAAUCAUUGGGCGUAAAGAGCGUGUAGGCGGUCCGGUAAGUCCGCUGUGAAAGUCGGGGGCUCAACCCUCGAAUGCCGGUGGAUACUGUCGGGCUAGAGUGCGGAAGAGGCGAGUGGAAUUCCUGGUGUAGCGGUGAAAUGCGUAGAUAUCGUAAGGAAGACCAGUGGCGAAGGCGGGUCUCUGGACAGUUCCCGACGCUGAGGCACGAAGGCCAGGGGAGCAAACGGG